CCUACGGGAGGCAGCAGUAAGGAAUAUUGGUCAAUGGACGCAAGUCUGAACCAGCCAUGCCGCGUGAAGGAUUAAGGCCCUCUGGGUUGUAAACUUCUUUUAUAGGGGACGAAAAAAGGGCAUUCUUGCUCACUUGACGGUACCCUAGGAAUAAGCACCGGCUAACUCCGUGCCAGCAGCCGCGGUAAUACGGAGGGUGCAAGCGUUAUCCGGAUUUACUGGGUUUAAAGGGUGCGUAGGUGGGUUGGUAAGUCAGUGGUGAAAUCUUCGAGCUUAACUCGGAAACUGCCAUUGAUACUAUCAAUCUUGAAUCAUCUAGAGGUAAGCGGAAUAUGUCAUGUAGCGGUGAAAUGCUUAGAUAUGACAUAGAACACCAAUUGCGAAGGCAGCUUACUAUGGAUGUAUUGACACUGAGGCACGAAAGCGUGGGGAUCAAACAGGAUUAGAUACCCUGGUAGUCCACGCCCUAAACGAUGGAUACUCGACAUUUGUGAUAUACUAUAAGUGUCUGAGCGAAAGCAUUAAGUAUCCCACCUGGAAGUACGACCGCAAGGUUGAAACUCAAGGAAUUGACGGCGUGAGAGAGACGACGGACGACGACGAGGGAGGAGG
rnacentral:rRNA from 1 species